AUCCAAUCCAAUUCAGUUAUGAUUGGCUAACUUAGGAAAAGUGAGACCCAAAUUAUUAUUUGAUUGGGAGACUUUGGAGUUUGAUCUAAAAAAUUUAACUAAUUUUAAAAUGUGUUUAAACUAAACCAUUUACAUUUAGAUGAACAUUUGAAUUAUUUUCCUUUUCAGGUUGUGGAAGUUUUUACCGAUCCAGCAGCUCCAUCAAAG
rnacentral:misc_RNA from 1 species